AAUCCUUUAACGAGGAUCUAUUGGAGGGCAAGUCUGGUGCCAGCAGCCGCGGUAAUUCCAGCUCCAAUGGCGUAUAUUAAAGUUGUUGCGGUUAAAAAGCUCGUAGUUGGUUCUGCGUGCCACGCUGUCGGUUCGCCGCCUGUCGGUGCAACUGGCAUGCCGUGGCAUGUCCUGUCGGUGGCCGACGGGCUCCUCGGCGCGCCCCACUCGCUCACGCGUGUGGGUCGACGCGCCGCGCUGUCCUCGUUGGCCGGCUCAAUCCUACCGCGGUGCUCUUAAACGAGUGUCGAGGUAGGCCGACACUGUUUACUUUGAACAAAUUAGAGUGCUUCAAGCAGGCUCUGAAAGCAGCCUGAAUAGUGGUGCAUGGAAUAAUGGAACAGGACCUUGGUUCUAUUUUGUUGGUUUACGGAAUCCAAGGUAAUGAUCAAUAAGGACAGGCGGGGGCAUUCGUAUUGCGACGUUAGAGGUGAAAUUCUUGGAUCGUCGCAAGACGCACUAGAGCGAAAGCAUUUGCCAAGUAUGUCUUAAUUGAUCAAGAACGAAAGUUAGAGGUUCGAAGGCGAUCAGAUACCGCCCUAGUUCUAACCAUAAACGAUGCCAGCCAGCGAUCCGCCGAUGUUCCUCCGAUGACUCGGCGGGGAGCUUUCCCCGGGAAACCAAAGCUUUUGGGUUCCGGGGGAAGUAUGGUUGCAAAGCUGAAACUUAAAGGAAUUGACGGAAGGGCACCACCAGGAGUGGAGCCUGCGGCUUAAUUUGACUCAACACGGGUAACCUCACCAGGCCCGGACAUUGGAAGGAUUGACAGAUCGAUAGCUCUUUCUCGAUUCAGUGGGUAGUGGUGCAUGGCCGUUCUUAGUUGGUGGACUGAUUUGUCUGGUUAAUUCCGAUAACGAACGAGACUCUGGCAUGCUAACUAGUUACGCGACCCCCGAGCGGUCGGCGUCCCCCAACUUCUUAGAGGGACAAGUGGCGUUCAGCCACCCGAGAUUGAGCAAUAACAGGUCUGUGAUGCCCUUAGAUGUCCGGGGCUGCACGCGCGCUACACUGACUG
rnacentral:rRNA from 1 species